rnacentral:rRNA from 1 species
AUGUCAGUGAGAGGCUUAGUAGCAAAUUAUACCAUCUCUUACAGCCCAAAGGCUCACGUCCGUUCAGAUGCUUGGUUGAAACCAAAGUAUGAUUACAUGAAAUUAAAUGUUGACGCGGGAUUUGAUAGUGACACACUCGCAGCAACAUUUGGAGCAGUUAUCCGGGACCAUAGGGGGAAAUUUAUAGCGGCUGCUAAUGAAAAGAUGGACCUUUGCUUCGACUCGUUCACAGCAGAAGCAAUUGCAGUGAGGUUUGGUUUGAAUCUUGCUAAUACCGUCGGAUGUAGUAAGAUUGAAGUGAAUUCGGAUAGCGUGGAGGUGGUGAAUGCGUUGAGCCAAUGCUACUCUUCUUCAAUCGCUUCAUUCAUUAUAGACGACUGUUAUUUCAUGUCAUUAGGUUUUUCCCAUAUCAUUUAUCAUCACUGUAAUAGGGAAUAUAAUCGAGUAGCUCAUGAACUAGCAAGGUUAGUUAGGUUUUUUUCUUCGAGUGUUUGGAUGGAUAACGCCUCUAAUGAGGUUAUCCCUUUACUUGUAAACGAUGCUACUUUACUUAUGAAUGAAUAA